GCAACCUGUUUCUCGGACCAACGACCCACCAAGGAGACCGGAUGGUAUCUCGUCCGUCCGGCUACUUCUCGGCGGCAUACCACCGGCGUUAGGACCGCCUUGACGUCACGACCAAGAUCGUGGCCUGGGUUUCCACCGAUAGGCUCCGACGAAGUCAAUCCGAAGCUGAGAAGUUUCUUUGGUUCCGGCGGUUUUCUUAAGUUUUCCGGCGACUUCAGUCGCCGAUGAUGACAUGCAAGGUGUCUCUUGUUCUCACGGGUUAAAGAAGAAACUUAAACCUCUCCAGUUUGAUUGAAAGAGUCAUAUAUGGAGAAUCGUUUGAGACUGCUUCGAGUUAAGGUAAACCAUUAUCGGCACAUUCUUGUGAUUUUGAAGUUGGGUCGUCAAUCUUGGAAACUAACUGCCUUGUUGUUAAUUGAAUGGUGGAGUUUGGAGGAAAACGCAGAAAUACGAAGGGAAUGGGAUCCAGAAGCUUGAGGUUGAAGAGAAGUGGGAACCUAUAUUUUUAGGCUCUGCUCGUCGAUUAUUAAUGAAGGUAAUAGUCUCAAAGAAGUGCACUGGUUUGGGAUGUUGUUAACCGGACAAAUGAAAGUUUGGUAUUUGACUAUCCAGAUUUCACAUGAAAGGUUGCUGCAAGUUGUUACAUACUUUGGGUUUUGGACAGAAAACUGAAUAAUAAAAGGUAAUUGUGAAACCACAACCUUGGAAUUGUGUAUCGUACUUUGGUUGUCCAUAAAGAGUUGGAUGGAUUAUGUUAAUUGUAAUGGUUGGUUGUGUUCAGUGUUUAUGUGGGAAACAAGAAUAAAUGUUUGGAUUUGGUUAUAUAGAAAGCGAAAUACGGGUGUGUACAGGAGGUUUUGAAUAUGUGGGUUUGAUGUUUAUUGUGAAUGACUUGGCAUAAUUAGUUCCUUUAAUUGUUAAGUUGAAGUCAUUGAAAGAAUUAUGUUGUGAUAGAAUUAAAACUUGGUCUAUUGAAGUUGACGUACUAGUCAUUGAGAAUGACAAUAAAAUGGAAGUAAUUGUGUGUACUGAGCCAUGACAAGUUGAAUAAGUUCACAAAAGUUAGCAUUCAUGAUUGGUCAUGGGAGGUUUGCGACCUUGUAUACGACUUGCCUUGGAGUUUAAUUUGAGCAGUAUAUCAGAUUUGGUGGGACUUGAUUACCAUGAAUGAUUAAAUGAUGUUGUUGGUCAUCAAUUUGAAUUCUUAUUGCAUUGGUAUAAAGAAAUAAAUAUUUUCCUGGUUGAACUUUAAUUUGGGGUAUGAAGGUCAUGAAUUGAAAGGUAAUCAUAGAAAUAUUGAAGAUACUUCACCCAAUAAGAAAUGAGUUCACUUUCAGAAUGAAUUAGUCAAAUGGAUUUGAUAUUGGUGAGUGUUAUUGAACAGAAUUUUAUAUUAACACUUGAAUAGUAGACUAGGACUCCAGUUACCCGAAACGUGAAAGAUGGCGGUGUUUGCCUAGGAGAGCGAAUGGAACCAAAUCUAUGAUAUCUAGGUAUGGGAUUAUGGACUCACCUCAGUAACUUUUAUGCAUAUAUUUUAAGGAAAUUAUUGAUGCAUGAAAGAUGUAUUUCGAUUUUUCUAUGAGUUACUGUUUGAUGACCUGAGAGUGAGAGGAGCAUAGCUACUUCCGUGGGCUUCGAUCCCCUAAACCUCCGAAGGGGCUGCAUGGACUGAAGAGUGUCUGACAUCCUUUUAGGUGUGGUACUGCUUCUAGGUGAUACGGCGUAAGUGGACACUCUCGCUACACCUUGCUUGUGUAAACUAUAUAAAUCGCGGUAAGGUUGUAGUUGGCAUAGUGAUUAUUCAUCAGGUUUGUUUUAUUCUUCUGGGCCCUACUAUAUUUUUUUAUAAACGAACUACGGUUUGUGGUUUCGAACAUUUUUAUCAUAUGCAUCGUUUUUCACUUACUUUGCCGGCACUAUUGUUUAAUUGUUUUUACACCUAGCUCGGGUAGAGUCUUCUUGAGCAGCGAGGAUGAAAGUUCAUCCCUACAAUAGUUUGUGGAUGCAGGUACUGUGUACGAAGACGGGACAGUUGGACGACGCUAAAUGUGGCUUAAUUACCAUGUACUUCAAUUGUGUCAUUGACGGAGUUAGAUCCGAGUGACAGGUUUUCUUAUUUUCUCUAUUUUCGCAAAAUUUGUUUAUCAAGUUUAUGAUUGUUUGUAAAAUACUACUUUUGUAUAUUUCUUGGACUUUGGCCUUGAACCGGACGAUCAUUCGAUAAUUGUUUUGAAAUGACUUGUAUUUGUUUUCUUUAAAGGAUUUCUGAUGGUUUUAUAGUUUUCACCUCACUUAAACAAAUGCUUUUGAGCUCAAGUUUUCCUAAUGGAUUUACCCAAGUACUUUUAGCUUCUUUCUUUUUGCCUUGCGGGUUCUUAGGAUUUGAGCUAAGAAAUUCUUAGCUUAGGUUCUAAGGAUACGCGACACUGUAAUGUACUCGUUUUGAUGGGGUCCAAAUCGGGGCGUUACAUUGAACAAUAUCAUUCUCAGCAUCCAAUAAUAUUGUGCGAAGCUUAGAGAUAUUGGCAUCUUUUGAGCUCUGAUGAUAAUCUUUAUGACCGUAAAAUGAAUAGGCAAUCCAUUGAAGAUCAAAGUCACUAUAUCUUCAUCAAGAAUAUAAACUCCAGCCAUAGAAAGUUGAUCUCUAAAGGUUUUAAUACGUUCCUUUUACUUGUCAAUACUAUCGUUACCUUUUUGAAUUUUCUACAUAGAGGUCCUUGAGCUCAAAAGCUUUAUAUGUCGAAAGUCUCCCAUAUCUCUCCUCAAGAAAAAACCAAACAUCUUUUUACUCCCACAAUGAAUGAAAAAGCAUUAGAUGACAUAGUAUCAUUUAGUAAAGUAAUCAAAGCAGAGUCAUUCUUCCUCCAGUCCUUAUACUCUUGUGUAAGCUCAGGAUAAUACUGGUCUCUGUUGUGAUUUUGUAUAGUGGAGAACAAGGCAUAGAAACAUGCAUAUAUCCCACUAGAUCACAGCGUACUAGUAUUGACUCUACCUAUAUGUCUCAUUUACAAUUUUCAAAAGCAAUACAGUUAUAUAUGGAAUUCAAAUCUAAACUAGAUAAGCUUAUCAAAACUAUUAAAGCACAUAGAAUGAUGACCACUGGUUCUCAAAAUAACAUGAUAUAACGUUGAGUGAUAUAACGUUGAGUUUUUUGAGAAUUUAUGAAACAUGAUUAUGGAUUUAAAUUAUGGAUUUUCGUUAAUCUCACGUAAUUAUAUUAGUAAAUUGAGAAAUCUUAUUAAAUUUUGUAAUCGCAUUGAUUAAUAUUGAUUAAUGUUUUUGAGUGUGGUUGGAAAUCGUACUAAUACUGUGGUUCAAGAUUAUUUAUUUUUAUGCUAUAUUUUUGGGGAAGUAUUUAUUUUGGUUUUCGAAUUUGUUUUCUUCACUAUACUUUGGUAUAUUUUACUGCUUGCUAGUUUAUUGCUCCCCCUUAUAAUAACUUGUGGGUUGCAGUUGAGCCUUUAGCCUGGGAGGAUAUUACUAGAGCCUAGGAGGCUCUCUUUUCUAUAUGGCGACUCUUCCUUUCUCAUACUAUACUUGUACGCUUAACCAACGAGGCUGGUUCAUUUUUAUGAGAUUGCUAGUUUCAAAGACAUUUUUCAUGAACUGUUGCAUGCAUUGGUUUUUAAGAAAGAUCUAAAUGCGGGAAAGUAUUAAAGAAUUCUUCCUUUUUUAUUCUUUUUCCUGAAUAAUUAUUUGUGUCCAUUCACGCUUACAUUUUUGCAUCCUUUCCCCUAGGUCUUUUGGUUUCAAAUGCCCAGUUUGCAAAGUUGCUGUUCAGCUUUAGGACUAGGGGCUUAGCACCACCACUACCAUCUUUCAUUCGUAGGUUACAUGUUAACCUACUUGAUGUAAUUUCUUUUAUUUCUUUUAAAAUGCUCUGAUAAGCAUGGGAUGCUAAUUAUUAGAUUUUUGUAAAAUAUAGGCUUAUAAACCAACUUUAGAAUUUUAGACUUGAAUGUUGUAUAUGGUAGUAUUAAUCGUCGAUUUGGAUUUGUAUUGAUGUUUGUUGAUCUUGUUUGGAGUUGGUUGUGAUGCAGAGUAGGUUGGCUCUAGGAGAUAAGGGUAGAUGUGUUUAGAAGUGUAGAUUUUGUUUCUUUUACAGGUUUGGGCUGUCCACUUUUAAGAAAACUUCUGUUGAAUUUUUGAUAGAAUUUUCUCGAAAAGUGGGCCCACAGUGCCACCUCGGAUUUCAGGGUGAAUUUCGGGACGGGUCAUGUCAUCUGCAUUCCUUAGAUAACGAGUUUUAAAGUCACUCACCCCAUUGAGAGGCUACUUAAACUUAGAAACCUACAUACGACUAAGACUUGAACUACUGACAUUCUACUCCUUCUCCACAUCAGGUAUGUGUCUUGUUUGUUUUUAGUAUGAUCUAACUAGCAUGCCUUUGGUUUUCGUGUUUAUGUACUUGUAAUUAUAAGUGAUUAUUUAGAACUAGAUCACAUGCGGCAACUCUUUGGGGCUAAUUGUUGAUGUCACUGGUAAAAAUUCUGCUAUGUUCCUUUUAUAUGAAGGCUUUCGGUUUAUCACAACAAUGUGGGCUUAGAAGUGGAGAGGCCCAAAUCAAACAAAGUUGAAAAUCUUUCAUCUUAUCAGUACUGUAGGUUAUCACAACAAUGUGGGCAAAGAAAUGGAGAGAUCCAGAUCAAACAAAGUUGAAGAUCCUUCCCCUUAUUAGUACUGUGGGUUUUGCAAUUUUUUUAUUAUUUAUUUAUUAAUUUUUAUUAAAUAAAGUACACUCCUAUUAUUAUUUUGCUGAUUCUUAAUUGAGCACAAA